ACUUUUUUUUGGUUGUGAAAACUUUUUGUUCCCAAUGGCCCAACCAAUUAGAACCCAGAAAAUUUUGCACAAGUUCGGCCUAAAAAUCACCACUAGGGAGGCCCAAGUUAGCAAUGCAUGUACAGAAAACGGGAGAACCAAUGGAAAAUGUUAUAAAACCCUAGCUAGUUCCGAAAACCUAAAUAAACGUCCAAGUUUUAGUAUAAGAGACGAGAGAGGACGGAGGAGGUCGGUCCCUCCACAGACCAUGGGUACGUUACUUUCUCUAAUCUCAGGAUUUUUUCAAUCUGAACACGUCUCUUUUUCUCGGUUGCUCCAUUUUACUAAGGCUGUACUUGAUUGAUUAAUGAUGCUACUGGUUUUUGCUGAUGAGAAAAACUUGGCAAAGUUAAGAAAACAUAUGAAUUUUGUGCUUUCCAUUGCAUUUCUCCCCAACCCAUGAAAGUGGAACCUAAGAUUUGCUCGUGUUCUAUGGAAUUAUUAUUUUUUGUUUCGUCGUUGCUUUAGUUUUGAAUGUGAUGUGUUUUAGUGUUUUGAAAUAUAAUAGGAUACUGCCAGUUAACGUUAUGGAAGGGAGGCCAUCCAAUGUUAUGAAUACAACCAAAAUGAAGAUUCAGUCGACAAAGAUGACUAGUGUUUGUUCCUUCUUUGGCCCUUCCUAGACAAUAAGGGGGAGAUUUUAUUUUAGCUAGGGGGGAGUUUUUAUUUGGUUGUAUUCAUUAUGUAUGAUGGGGCGUUAGUAUCCUGCAAAGUUCGAGAAGAAGGUGAUCGACGAUCGAGUUAAUGUUGUUCCGCUUUCACUUGGAGACUGGAAAAAUUGAGUAGCCAAGGCGUGGAGACAAAACUGCCUUCUAGUUAUGGAUGUAUUAAGAUGAGUUUUGUAAGUUUUUUUUUUUUUGUAUUCAUUCCUCUUAGUGUAUCAUGGCUUGGUAGCUUGAAGAUUUUCUCAUUGGCAGGUUUUGCCUUGUUAAAUUUUACA
rnacentral:lncRNA from 1 species